rnacentral:rRNA from 1 species
GUGGCGAACAGCUCAGUAACACGUGGACAACCUACCUUUGGGAGGGAAAUAACCUCGGGAAACUGAGGACAAUGUUCCAUAGGUGAGAUGUUCUGUAAUGACUCUCAUUGAAAGGGUCUUUUCUAUUGCUGAAAAGACUGCCUAAAGAAGGGUCUGCGGUGGAUUAGAUAGAUGUUGAGGUAAUAGCUCAACAUGUCUGUGAUCCAUACCGGCUAUGGGAGUAGGAGCCGGGAGAUGGAUACUGAGACAAAGAUCCAGGCUCUACGGAGCGCAGCAGGCGCGAAAACUCCACAAUGCGCGCAAGCGUGAUGGGGGAACUCCAAGUGUUCCUCAAAAGAGGAACUUUUGUAGUAUGUAAAAAGUACUAAGAAUAAGAGCUGGGCAAGACCGGUGCCAGCCUCCGCGGUAAAACCAGCAGCUCUAGUGGUAGUCACAACUAUUGGGCUUAAAGCGUUCGUAGCCGGUCUGGUAAGUUCUCUGUGAAAUCCUUGGGCUUAACCUAAGGGCUGGCAGAGAAUACUACUAGACUUGGAGCCGGGGGAGGUUGAGGGAAUUUCUGGGGUAGCGGUGAAAUGCUAUAAUCCCAGAAGGACCUCCAAGGGCGAAGGCACUCAACCAAAACGGGCUCGACGGUGAGGAACGAAAGCUAGGGUAUCAAACCGGAUUAGAUACCCGGGUAGUCCUAGCCACAAACGAUGCGGACUAGGUGUUUCUCGAACUUCGAGUUCGGGAAAUGCUGAAAGGAAACUAUUUAGUCCGCCGCCUGGGGAGUACGGUCGCAAGGCUGAAACUUAAAGGAAUUGGCGGGGGAGCACCACAAGGGGUGGAGUCUGCGGUUC